rnacentral:rRNA from 1 species
AUUGAACGCUGGCGGCAGGCUUAACACAUGCAAGUCGAGCGGGGUGAUGGUGCUUGCACUAUCACUUAGCGGCGGACGGGUGAGUAAUGCUUAGGAAUCUGCCUAUUAGUGGGGGACAACAUCUCGAAAGGGAUGCUAAUACCGCAUACGUCCUACGGGAGAAAGCAGGGGAUCACUUGUGACCUUGCGCUAAUAGAUGAGCCUAAGUCGGAUUAGCUAGUUGGUGGGGUAAAGGCCUACCAAGGCGACGAUCUGUAGCGGGUCUGGGAGGAUGAGCCGUCACCCUGGGACGGAGACACGGCCCAGACGCCUCAGGGAGGCAGCAGUGGGGAAUAUUGGACAAUGGGGGGAACCCUGAUGCAGCCAUGCCGCGUGUGUGAAGAAGGCCUUAUGGUUGCAAAGCACUUUAAGCGAGGAGGAGGCUCUUUUGGUUAAUACCCAAGAUGAGUGGACGUUACUCGCAGAAUAAGCACCGGCUAACUCUGUGCCAGCCGCCGCCGUAA